rnacentral:lncRNA from 1 species
CAACGAUGGGUACUUAGAUUUCCCCAUCUCUCACUAAGCAUUGCACUAAUUGACUAUUUUCCCUAAAGAAAAUAGUCACCAUGCCUAUCAUUAACAAAAAUCAUGCAACUCUGUAAUGACUGAGCUACUCAGGCUUCACUCAUAUUAAAUUAGGCACAGACCCAGAGAAAUUAUCAAUUCGAUUAAGCAAUUUAAUAAUUACGAUUCACCAUCUUUAUAGGCAUUUAGAAUUAAAAAUCACAUGGGCACAAUUCAAUUUAAAAAAUAACACACCCUAUAUGCUUUCUAAACUCAAAAACAACAACAAGAAGUCUAAACACCAACCUUAAAGCCAAAAAUAUUCAAGAAAUUAAGGGAUAAGAGUUGGGUUGAUAUGAUCUUCAAGAAAAUGCACUCCUAGCACCUUCAAG